GGCUGUGCAUCAGGGGAGAGCAAGGUGGCUCUGCGCCAGCGAGGGCAGGAAAGGUUCUGGAGCAAGUGUAAUCUGUGACGGCAUCAGGCGGUGAGAUCGGGGCUUUGGGGCCAGACACUAAGAGAGCCAACCUUAUCAUUUACUCUCUCUCUCUCUCUCUAUUUCUGUCUCUUUCUUUCUUUCAUCACAUCUUUCUUAUAUUCCAGCUACUAUGCUGAGUGGUAGAGAUACAGCAGUGAACAAGCUCCCUGGGGAAAAUCAGAUAAUAAAUAAGAUCAUGGGCGACAACAACUCCAAAGGAACAACCAGGGUGAUCUGAUGGAAGGGACCAGGCCACAGGAAAGGCAUCUUGAGGAGGUGGGAGGGAAGCAGAGGGAAGGAACAGCCUUGAUUGAUGUAGGGCAGCACUUCUUGAGAAUGAGGAACAAAAAGAAGCCAGUGGGGCUGGAGGACAAUUGCAAUUUUUAUCAUUUAACACAAGAAUUAAAUUAUUCUGAAUCAUCUCAUGGAUUUGGGGAGAAAUCCACAAAAUCAUAACAUGUACCAUAUCAUAGCAUGCACGCCCCAAGGACUGAGAAUGAACUCAGUUCCAUAACACUAACCCUGAGCGGGCACCUGGGACACAGCGGGCACUGUGUUCGCUGCUUUUAUUCUCACGUUCCAGCUCAUUCAGUCCUAAUAACGGUCCUCUGGGGUACACACUGUGUAUAGAUGAGAAAACCGAGUCUCAGACACAUACCACCCGAGGUCAUACAGCAGACAAGCGCCAGACUAGGGCCUGAACACAUGUACUCAGGCCCCAGGGCUUCGCCCAGCCGAGACAGCACAUCUCCUUUCCUGGUUUUAUGAUCCCCCAAACCACCUGGAGUCUGCAGACCCAAUGGCAUCUGGUGCGGCCUCAAGAGGCACUCCUUCUUUGCACUCUCCCCUGUCUGGCUUCACUUCCAGCUCUGAACCAAAGGACAGCUUCUUCCCCUUCUGCAACUCAGUUUCUCCCUGAGGGCCUCAGUUUCCCCACCUGUAAAAUGGGCUGCUGUGAGCCCUCAAUGGACCAAGGUGGGUAGGGAGCCCUUUCCUUGCUUUCCCUUCAAGGAUGCAGAAAAUGUCAGAGGACCUCAAGGUAGGAAGUAGAUGCCAGAACAACUUUCUGGAGAAUGGAAACCCACAUCCUCUGACUUCUGUGCAGCAUCCUCCCUAGCACAGGGGGCCCAGUGUCACCUGGGGAGACGAGGGAAGACAGGAGCUGGUCUAUGAAAGGAGCAGGAGUCCAGUGGGCAUCUCACAGCCUCAAGAAAGCAGCACACGCUGCAUCGCCACCUCCAGCCCUGUAAUCUCUACACACAACAGGGGGCUUGAACUCACAACCUCGAGAUCAAGAGUUGUAUGCUCUACCAACUGAGCCAGCCGGCAAGAUUGCAACAUUGAAAACUUGACUUUCAAAGGCCAUGUGCUCUGACAGCUAAGACUUGGGACCAAGGAGCUCUUGCCUCUGCUUCUGGCCAUCUUCCAAUUAGCUGCAUGACGCAAGGCUGCCUAGAGCCUCUAUUGUCCUGGUCUCAAAUGCCAAGUGAAAAUAGCUGUCCUCAUCUCACCAGCUUAAAUAAAAUUCAAUUUUGUGUUCUGAGAAUUUGGCCUGGUUUGGAAGAGAAUUCCAGGGCUGUGGUGAUUGUCCACUUAACCACAGAGAUCUGGCAACAAAAGUCUAUUAUGGUUAAAGAUUGUCCUCCUCCUAACCAGCAUCCUAAACACAGGGCAGCUGCCUGUCUGCACUCAAGUCCCUGCUGGGAACACCACGGGAUGCUUGAUGCACUGAGGUUCAUGUGCCCAGUGACUCAGUCUAGUCUUAUGUGAUACUGCAUUAAUCAGGUGUUGACUUUCUAAAGAUCCCUUAAAAAGCUCUUAGGUGCCAAUCCAUCUACUGCCACAGGACUGGGGCUUCCAUUUGCUUCCAAUUUCAACCAUCUGAAAGAAAAAAACCCUUGUCAUUAUGCUUAAAUGGUAAUAUAAGUCCCUUUUUCUGUGAAAUAUGAAUGAGCAGAGUCCAGCAUGAGUGUCUCAGAAUGAAGCUAAAGGCAGAUCAGUGUGAGCUUCAUGACUCAAAAGAUGCCUUGACACAGCAUUUCCCAAGGUAGUCUCCCCAGGAGAGAAGCAAAUAAGUGAAACCAGGGAAAAUACAAAAUUGUAGUUAAGACUGGAUGAUUCCGAAUGAAACAGACUUCCUUGCUGCGGACCUUCUCAGAGCCCUUAAUGUAUUAACAUGCAUUGUGAGUAUCUAAGAAAAGAGUAUAGUCUCCAUGACUCUCAAGUUGUUUGAUCAAGGAUCAUUUUGUAUUACCCCUUGCCUCAAAGCCAACAUCUCAAGGAACUAGAAAAACUGCUUGUUAGCAUAGCAAACUUUCCCACAAAAUAGGCCUCUUCAUCCUCUAUCAACUGCAAAAUAAAUAUUACUCCUAUUUCCCUGUAAGCAUGGGAGGCAGCCAAAAGGCACUACAGCCUUAAUUCUGACUCACAAUAUCCUCUUCAGCUUUUUUUUUUAAAGUUUGUUCUCUUAGACCAAAGCCGUCUGAGGAAUUAAUCUUUAACGAGUCCAUCAGUUGGUUGUUAGCAAAUCUUCCACAAAUCCAGAGUCUGGCUAUUUGAAACGGUAGUGAGCUGCACAAACUACAGCCUACAAACAUCGCCUGCUGCACUAAUGCAUUCACAUGGUAGGACCAGCCCAAAGUCCGGCAGGGCUCUUGGGUAACAAGAUUACGGAGGCUGCCUGGGUAGAAGCUGUCUUGGCGGUGACUUCAUUUGGUAGCGACUAUUAAUUGUCCACCAUCAUCCUCCCUUUCUUCCAUCCGCUGGAACCCUUGAUCUGUAUAUGGGCCCAGGAACACAAGAACAAAGGCUUCAUUUCUUAGGUUCCCUUCCAGCUAACUGUGGCCAUAAGACUAUGUUUUGACCAAUGAGAUGCACAGGGAAAAACUAGCGACAUCUUCCAGGAAACCUUGUGGAAGGUGUCACAGGUGACACAGCCCUUUGGUUCCCCUUCACACUUUUCUUCAAACCUUUCCCCUUCCCGCUGGCUGGAAUGUGGGGAAUGGCUGGUACCCCAGCAGCCCUCUUUGACCAUGAGUUGGAAGCCAGUUACCAGGGUACACAAAUAACAAAAGCAAUGGAGCCCUAGACUCUGACAACUUUAUGAACUGGACUGGACUAUUCUCCUCUGGAUUCUUUCUACCUGAGAGAGAAAUAAAUUUCCCUCUUGAUCAAGCUGUUGUGAGUUUUCUGUCACAGCUGAAUUAAGUCUUAACCAAUGCAACCAACAGCACACAAAAAUUUUCUCAUUGGGAAGUAAUUUUAAUUUUAGUUGCAUGAAUAGUAGUGAGAACUCUGGUACACCCUUUACGCAGGCUUAGCAAUUACUAGUGUUUUGCCACAUUUGCUUUAUUGUUCUUAAUUUUAUCAUGUAAUUUUUAACCAUUUUAGAGGGAACUCCAUACAUCAUGCCCCUUUAUACUCUUAAGCACUUCAAAAUGAAGAAGUCAAAGACAAACGCUUCCACACAACCAUAGUUACAAAAUUCAGGAAUGUUUUCAUUGAUGCAAUACUACUACCUCAUUUCUAGUCCAUAUUCCGAUUUUACCAAUUGUCACAAUAAUGUCUUUUCCAGCCCACGAUCUAA